rnacentral:rRNA from 1 species
AUACGUAGGGUGCAAGCGUUAAUCGGAAUUACUGGGCGUAAAGCGUGCGCAGGCGGUAUUGUAAGACAGAGGUGAAAUCCCCGGGCUCAACCUGGGAACUGCCUUUGUGACUGCAAGGCUAGAGUACGGCAGAGGGGGAUGGAAUUCCGCGUGUAGCAGUGAAAUGCGUAGAUAUGCGGAGGAACACCGAUGGCGAAGGCAAUCCCCUGGGCCUGUACUGACGCUCAUGCACGAAAGCGUGGGGAGCAAACAGGAUUAGAUACCCUGGUAGUCCACGCCCUAAACGAUGUCAACUGGUUGUUGGGUCUUCAUUGACUCAGUAACGAAGCUAACGCGUGAAGUUGACCGCCUGGGGAGUACGGCCGCAAGGUUGAAACUCAAAUGAAUUGACGGGG